rnacentral:rRNA from 1 species
GACGAACGCUGGCGGCGUGCCUAACACAUGCAAGUCGAACGCUGAAGGUUGGUCCUUGUGCCGACUUGGUGAGCAGCGCACGGGUGAGUAACGCGGGGGGUAUCUGCCGUUGAGCGGGGGACAACUUUUGGAAACGAAUGCUAAUACCGCAUAAAAACUUUAAACACAAGGUUUAAGUGUGAAAGAUGCAAUUUCAUCACUCAAAGCUGCUCCCGCGUUUUAUUAGCUAGUUGGUGAGGUAAAGGCUCACCAAGGCGAUGAGACAUAGCCGAACUGAGAGGGUGAUCGGCCGCAUUGGGAGGGAGACACGGCCCAAUCUCCUACGGGAGGCAGCAGUAGGGAAUCUUCGGCCAUGGACGGAAGUCUGACCGAGAAAGGCCGAAUGAGGGAAGAAGGUUGUCGGGUCGGAAAACUCUGUUUGUGGGGUAGAAAGCUGGUGCGGCUGGAAAGAUGAGCAAGUGACGGUAACUACCCAGAAAGCAACGGCUAACUACGUG